ACAUGGAGGAGACAAGUUGAUGUUGAGUACUUUCUGCUUCUUAUCGAUGCUGGCAUCAGCCACUGUAUACUCCAGAAGCCUGACAACACAUCGGGAACAACUCUGAGUUCCAGGACAGCUGAAGUCUGGAGUUAGAGCUCACAGCAGAGCUGGCAAGAGCUUAAAUGCCCACCGUCAUGAUGCAGGCUGCCAGAUAGUGGGCUAAGCUCACCCAGCGCCAGAUUCUUCAUUCUAAGUCUGUUCUCUACGAGGGAGUGAAGUGUCUUCCUGUCUUUCUUUCCCUGAGAAUGCAGCACUGACGCUAUUGUGUCUCCAAGUAUAAGACUCUAUGGCAUUUCCAGGAACACAGAGUCCAUGGAAGACAUUGACUGGAAAAUAAAAUGCAGGAAUUUCACCAGCAUGUGUUUUUGGAAGAGAAACAAGGAGAAUUUGGCCUGUGAUACAACUGCAAAGAAUUCUUCAAUCAAAC